AUGAAAGUUCCUGGGAUAAAGAUCGUUGUCCUGCCUCGCAGGUUAGAGAAAGAGAGAGAGAAAUGUGAUCGUUCAGACAAGAGCACUAAAGAGCUGCGUAGGGUGGAUUCUGCCUACUCUUUAAAGCGCAAUUAUCUGAAAAAAACUAGUCCAGAUUGAGAAAUCAAAAGGAAAGGGGACGAUGGCGACUUGCUUUGGUCUCCGGCUGAGAAAACUGCCUCGAUAUGUCCGCGUAAAUUUCCAGGAAUCAAGCUCCGUUCAAAGACUUCAUUUUUUCUUUAGCCUCUGGGCGUGCCUCAGCUCUGCUCCUGGGAAUGCAGAAGCCUUGAACGUAAGCAUGCCAGCUCAGAAGACAGCAAUCUUGGGUACGAAUGUGACACUUCAGUGUAAUAUCUCUGACUACCCUCCCCCAGAACUGGAUAUCACAAAAACAAUAUUCAUCUGGUAUCUGGAGACACCUGAAGGGAAUAAAGAAGAAAAACUUUAUUCAGUUGUUGAUGGAAAACAUUCUUCAAAUAGAUAUGGUUCAAGACUGGAUACAAUUCAAUUAAAAAAUGGAGAUGCUUCCCUUUUUCUUCCACAAAUACAGUUUAAUGAAGAGGGCAAAUAUAAGUGUGUCGUGAUUGAUACCUCUGUUAGAGCUGAAGGAGCCACCAUUUUAGAUCUAGUUGUUGAACCAACUGUCCAACUGUCUCCCAAGGAACUUGAAAUUGAAAACGGAAAUGUAAAGACACUGAGAUGUAGAGUGAAUAAAUUCUAUCCUGAUUCCAUUGUCAUUCUUUGGCAAAAGCAUUCUAAGCACACGUCGGAUAAAGAUAUACCUGUAGAUGAUAUUUUCAUGGAAACAUCUGUGAGAAAUGGUGAUGGCACUUACAACACCACCAGUAAACUGAGACUUCAACCAUCUUCACAAGACCAUGGAAACGUCUAUAGUUGUAUUGUGCAGCAUAAGUCAUUUGCCAGAUUUCCAGUCUACAAUGUAACUUUAACAGUAACAGAACCUUAUUCGACUACUCCAUUAACCAUUGGGCUGGUUUUAUGUUUUCUGAUUUCUUUUCUUUUAGUUGGAUUGCUGCUGUACAUUGUCUUUUUAAAGAAACUAGAUCCACCAUCUGUGGAAAUGUUUGGAAUUGAGGAACUGAAUCAUUUGGAAGAAACACAGUUGCAAUGUUUGAUUUCACACUUUCGACCUAAGCCUUUGCAGGUAGACCUCUUCUUAGUAACUGAACCUCAGAAAACAAAACAGAAAAUAGCCUUUUGGCCUAGAACAUCAGUUGAAGAACCUACGGAAGAUGCUGAAAAUUCUCCUCUCCUUGGGAACUUGAAGGACAUGUUUAAAACUUAUCCAGUGUUGAAAUCAAAACCAAAAAACUAUUUUGAUUUGCAGUGGAAAAUCUGCAUGAAUCCAGAUGUUCAGAAGCUAGAGAAAUUUCAACUUUUAUUAGACAUUAAAUAUGAAGACUUUCAGCAUGGAUUGUGUAAAACGAAAUCAUUUAAAGUCAUAGCCUUACCAGAGCUUCAUGACAUUCAUUGUUCCACAAAUAUGCCAAGAUCAAAUGAACCGCUCACUCUUAGUUGCAACAUUCAUUCUUAUUUUCCGGACACCCUUGAAGUCUAUUGGACUAAUGAUGAUGGAAUUGUAGACAGUUCCUUUUCAACUCCACCCACAAAAGGUACUAAUGGGCUUUACUUUUGCAUCAGCAAGAUCCACUAUUGCCCUCAAGUGGAAGAUUCUGGAAAGAGGUUUGUCUGCAGAGCUAAGCUUCAAGGACCACAAGCAUAUAAAGAAUCUGUAUGGCGGAUGAACCCUGUGGUUGUGGCCCCCAAAGUUGACAAAAUUGAAUGUAAGCCCCCUGUUCCUGAGUGUGGGAAACCCAUCACAUUGAGAUGCUUACUGACAGAAUACCAUCCACCUGAGUGUGACAUUCAUUGGAAAAAGGGCUCUGAAGAGCUCUUGGGUGCUGAAGUUAAAACAGGAGAGCCGCAGUUGGACAGAAUGUCAAUGCUGUACUCCAGGGCGAGUGAAAUAACCUUUACACCCAGCGCAGAAGACCAUGAAUUGGAAUUCUUUGUUGAAAUAAAUCAUUGCAAGGAAAUUGUACGGAAAGUAUAUAAAGUCAUGCUGAAAGAUUUUCCCAAACUUUCAAAUAUUGUUAUUGAACCAAGUGAUGCAGGUUAUGGACAAAGUGUAACUUUAACUUGUGAUGUCACAGAUUUCAAUCCUAAAAAAAUUGGUACACAGUGGCUCCUGGGAGAUAAUUCACCAACCAAUGCUGCGGUCACAGAAGAUUUAGACAAGGCCUGUAAUGGUUGUUACAAAUUAACUUCCGUGUUUAAACUAAGAGCUACUGCUUCAGUUUGUGAUAAGGCUAUUUUUUUCAGGGUAAACCAUGCAACAUUGACAAAGCCUAUUACAAGAGAAGUGAAUUUAAAACUUCCAGAAGCCUUGAAAGUAAGCAUGCCAACUCAGAAGACAGCAAUCUUGGGUACAAAUGUGACACUUCAGUGUAAAAUCUCUGACUACCCUCCCCCAGAACUGGAUAUCAAAAAAACAAUAUUCAUCUGGUAUUUGGAGACAUCUGAAGGGAAUAAAGUAGAACAACUUUAUUCAGUUGUUGCUGGAAAACAUUCUUCAAAUAGAAAUGGUUCAAGACUGGAUACAAUUCAAUUAAAAAAUGGAGAUGCUUCCCUUUUUCUUCCACUAAUACAGUUUAAUGAAGAGGGCAAAUAUCUAUGUGUCGUGAUUGAUACCUCUGUUAGAGCUGAAGGAGCCACCAUUUUAGAUCUAGUUGUUGAACCAACUGUCCAACUGUCUCCCAAGGAACUUGAAAUUGAAAACGGAAAUGUAAAGACACUGAGAUGUAGAGUGAAUAAAUUCUAUCCUGAUUCCAUUGUCAUUCUUUGGCAAAAGCAUUCUAAGCACACGUCGGAUAAAGAUAUACCUGUAGGCGAUAUUUUCAUGAGAAGAUCUGUGAGAAAUGGUGAUGGCACUUACAACACCACAAGUAUACUGAGAGUUCAACCAUCUUCACAAGACCAAGGAAACGUCUAUAGUUGUAUUGUGCAGCAUAAGUCAUUUGCCAGAUAUCCAGUCUACAAUGUAACUUUAACAGUAACAGAACCUUAUUCGACUACUCAAUUAACAAUUGGGCUGGUUUUAUGUUUUCUGAUUUUGUUUCUCCUAGCUGGGUUGCUGCGGUACAUUGUCUUUUUAAAGAAAUAUGCACCAUCUGUGGAAAUGGUUGGAAGUGAGGAACUGAAGCAUUUGGAAGAAACACAGUUGCAAUGUUUGAUUUCACACUUUCGACCCAAGCCUUUGCAAGUAGACCUUUUCUUAGUAACUGAACUUCAGAAAACAAAACAGAAAAUAGCCUCUUGGCAUACAACCUCACUUGAAGAACCUACAGAAGACGAUGAAAAUUCUCCUCUCCUUGGGAACUUGGAGGACAUGUUUAAAGCUUAUCCAGAGUUGAAAUCAAAACCAAAAAACUAUUAUGACUUCCAGUGGAAAAUCUGCCUGAAUCCAGAUGUACAGAAGCUGGAGGAAUUUCAACUUUUAUUGGAAAUUAAACAUGAGGGCUUUCAGCAUGGAUUGUGUACUAAAACAAAAUCAUUUAAAGUCGUAGCCUUACCAGUGCUUCAUGAAAUUCAUUGUUCCACAAAUGUGCCAAGACCAAAUGAACCGCUCUCUCUUAGUUGCACAAUUCAUUCUUAUUUUCCGGAAACGCUUGAAGUCUGUUGGAAUAACGAUGAUGGAAUUCUAGACAGUUCCUUUUCAACUCCACCCACAAAAGGAACUGAUGGGCUUUACUUUUGUAUCAGCAAGAUCCACUAUUGCCCACAAGUGGAAGAUUAUGGAAAGAGGCUUGUCUGCAGAGCUAAGCUUGAAGGAUCAAAAACAUACAAAGAAUCUACAUGGCAGAUGAACACUAUGGAUUACAAAAUUGAAUGUAAGCCUCCUGUACCUGAGUGUGGGAAACCCAUCACACUGAGUUGCUCAUUGACAAAAUACCAUCCACCUGAGUGUGACAUUUAUUGGAGAAAGGGCUUUGAAGAGCUCACAGAUGCUACAAUUAAAACAGAGGAGCCGCAGUUGGACAGAAUGUCAAAGCUGUACUCCAGGACAAGUGAAAUAACCUUUACACCCAGCGCAGAAGAUCAUGAAUUGGAAUUCUUUGUUGAAAUAAAUCAUUGCAAGAAAAUUGUACGGGAGGGAUAUAAAGUCAUGCUGAAAGAUUUUCCCAAACUUUCAAAUAUUGUUAUUGAACCAAGUGAUGCAGAUUAUGGACAAAGUGUAACUUUAACUUGUGAUGUCACAGAUUUCAAUCCUAAAAAAAUUGGCACACAGUGGCUCCUGGGAGAUAAUUCACUAACGAACGGUGUGGUCACAGAGGAUUUAGACAUUCUCUGUUAUGGUUGUUACAAAUUAACUUCUGUGUUUGAACUAAGAGCCACCGCUUCAGUUUGUAACAAGGCUAUUUGUUUCAAGGUGAACCACGAAAAAUUGACAAAGCCUAUUACAAGAGAAGUGUAUUUAAAACUUCCAGUCAAACGGCCUGUUUUGACUGAAAUAAAGGCAAGCCAAGAUCAUCAGAAUAUCCUCCUUGAAAUUUCUAUAUCACAAUUUGCACCUCAUGAUAUACAAGUCAGAUGAUACCAAGGCUGGAGAAAAAUACCUGAAAAUAUCAAUCCCAGGAAUAUUGGGAUUGGAGAAGAUCACUUAUGUUAUUUUGUUAGUAAAAUAUACUUAAAUCCAAAAGAACUGCGCUUUGGGAAGACAAUACAAUGUGAAGUUAAACAUUCAACAUCUACUGAGGAAAAAAGCUUAACACUGAACACAAUAGAUUUCUCUGAUCUUGAGGAAACGUAACAUCAUCACCAUGAGUCAUAACCAUUAUGAACUCCUUCAAAGUAAGCUCUCUGCAGAUGCAAUAACAGUUGGAAAAUAAUUAUGUUUUGCUACUUUUCUCGCUACAAAGUAAUCCUUCAAAAAAAUUCCUAUCUUGGCUCAACCACACAGCUGAUAUUAAAGGUCUCUGAAAUCAACUCUAGCCAUUUCACUCACUGCUUUUGCUCAGGGGUGGCAGAUGUGAGUAUAUUGAAAGCCCAGGUGGCACCUUUCCAGAAAAGGAAGAACCUACAAACAUCUACAAGACCAAAGUGAAGACUAUUCUAGCCAUCCUUUGGAUAAAAUUGUUUGAAUUGUUGUUUGAAUGCACUCUGAGUUAGACUUCAGCUGUGCAAAAUUCUUGGACUGGGAUUAAUGUAGUUACGUGAGAAGAGUUUGAACCCGUUAAAUGCAGUGGCUAAAGGAAAGCAGUUGAGCUUUUCCAGCAGAUCAGGGUGAGCUGCAGGUGACGUGAAGCAUUGCUGCUCUGAAAUAUUUCAUACUGAGAAAAAGAAUUCACAAUGGAAGGUGACAUAUUGGGAAUCCAAUUAUAUCAAAUAUCCAUGUGGUGAUUUCUGAGGAGCAAUUAUUUUGGCUUUGUUAUCAAUAAUUAAUCUGUUGAAUGAAGGAUUUUAGUCAAUUUUAAAUUUAAAGUUUAAUGAAGGAGGUGGGAGUUUAGGAUUAUUUUCCUCAACCUCCUUAUUCAUUCGCAUGUGCUUGUUUAUUCCAUCUUAGUCAUGUUGUGACUCGGAAGCCCAUCAAGAGACAGCUGCUGGAAUGCCUCCUGUGUGAUGAGGGCUCCUCUGACAGAGGCCAUGUCUUUAGGACAUACCAAAGUGUUUACUCACUCCACUGCCUUGAGCAACCCUGCUCCUAUUACACCAACUCUGGAUUCUUUGCAUUUGGAACCUGGGAAACGACAAGGACUGUCUAGCCUGGGGCCUUCUAACAUAUGCUACCUUUAACAGAAGCCAAAUAUAAGCAAGAAAACUUACCUUGGACGAAGCAAAUAAACUGGGCAUCUCACCUUCUAUUAUUUGUGUUAACGUUUCAGUCAAUUCCUCCUCCCUGGACUAAACUGUCAUCUCUUUGUCAUGUGGUUGUUAUUGUGUCACAUAACUUGAAGAAGAAGGCUGUUGAAUCAUGUGAUAUUCUCAAUGUUCUACCUAAUAAAGGAGGCACCAUGUUUGGUUCUUCUUGUUCACAUA